GACGAACGCUGGCGGCGCGCCUAACACAUGCAAGUCGAACGAGCGAGAGAGAGCUUGCUUUCUCGAGCGAGUGGCGAACGGGUGAGUAACGCGUGAGGAACCUGCCUCAAAGAGGGGGACAACAGUUGGAAACGACUGCUAAUACCGCAUAAGCCCACGGCUCGGCAUCGAGCAGAGGGAAAAGGAGCAAUCCGCUUUGAGAUGGCCUCGCGUCCGAUUAGCUAGUUGGUGAGGUAAUGGCCCACCAAGGCAACGAUCGGUAGCCGGACUGAGAGGUUGAACGGCCACAUUGGGACUGAGACACGGCCCAGACUCCUACGGGAGGCAGCAGUGGGGAAUAUUGCACAAUGGGGGAAACCCUGAUGCAGCGACGCCGCGUGGAGGAAGAAGGUCUUCGGAUUGUAAACUCCUGUUGUUGGGGAAGAUAAUGACGGUACCCAGCAAGGAAGUGACGG
rnacentral:rRNA from 1 species